AUGUCUUGGGACUGGACUGGCCAUAAUAGGAAAGAAAUAUUACCCUAAACAAAGGUGCUUCUAUUAUCAUACUACUUUCGAUUUACAAAGGUCUGCCAACUGGAACAGAGCCCGGUAGGAGCAAGUGCUGGGUGUUGCUGUGAGGGAAGGCUGGGGAUAUUUUUAAGGGUAGACCGAGAGCCAAGGCUUCAUCUAUUAUUUUCUUCACUUGCCAAUUACUUGAGAGCUCACAGUGUUGAAAAACACAUGCUAGCCAUGAAGAUGUGUGCCCUCCUGUCUCACAGGGCUUCUAGCUCAGAAGAGCAGGCGAUUGAGAAAGGACACUUUUGUGGGAUAGAGCCACAGAAAUUACCAAGGAGACUUAAUUGCCAAUGAUUUGCGUCUCUACCCACUUCCCACCCCUCCUAGACACGUACUAUCGGGAUGGCUAAAGAUUUAAAAACCAGACAAACAGGUACUGAUAAGGACAUGCAGUGAAAUGGAAGUCUCAUCCAUCAUUCAAGAGAACAGCAGCCAUGUUGGAAAACUGUUAGGAAAUUAACCACGCUUUACCAUGUGACUCAGAAAACCUGCUUCUUCUAAGUUUGCAAAAGAAAGAAAGAAAGAAAGAAAGAAAGAAAGAAAGAGAAAAGAAAAGAAAACUUACGGACACUGUCGCGCCCACCUCGACCGGCAAGGAAGACGCAACACCGUUGGAUCCUUCUCAAUCAGUCUUUAUUGUAGGAACACCUAAUUGAUAGUACGGGGACCCCGGGCAACAAAGACACUUGUCUUAUAUAUAAAACAGACUGUGGCUGUAAAUUUGUCUACUGGGGAUUGGUGGAGUAUGAAAUACCUAUUUAGCAUGAAUAUCACCCUGGCCUUGUAGGUGCUGGGGGUCUGUCAACACAUGUGCUGUAGGUGUUUACCACAAACGACCACCGGAUGUCGGCGCCAUCUUUAGCCGCUCCCUACAGGACACAAAAGCCUAUUUCUAGAAGUUUCGUGAACAGCUGCCCAGAUUGGGAAGCGUGCAAAUAACACAUCAAAAGGAAAAUGAUUAAAUAAAUGUUAGCAUUCACACUGUGCAGUUAGAGUUCUGUCAACCUGCCACAAGCUAGAGUCAUCUGGGAAGAGAGAACCUCAAUAGAGAAAAUGCUUUCAUCAUGGCCUAUAGGCAAAGACUGUAAGGUAUUUUCUUGAUUAACUACUGAUGUGGGUCAGUCCACUAUGAGCGGCGCUCUCCCUAGGCAUGUGGUCCUGAGUUGUAUUUUUAAAAGUAGGCUGAGGGAACCAUGAAGAACAACCUAGUAAGCAGCACUCCUCCAUGGAUUCUUCAUUAGCCUCUGUCUCCAGAUUUGCUGCCUAGACUUCCCUCACUGGUGGACAGUGUGAGACCCUUGACAAAUAAACCCUUUCCUCCCU